UACGAAGGGGGCUAGCGUUGCUCGGAAUUACUGGGCGUAAAGCGCACGUAGGCGGAUCUUUAAGUCAGGGGUGAAAUCCUGGAGCUCAACUCCAGAACUGCCUUUGAUACUGAGGACCUUGAGUUCGGGAGAGGUGAGUGGAACUGCGAGUGUGGAGGUGAAAUUCGUAGAUAUUCGCAAGAACACCAGUGGCGAAGGCGGCUCACUGGCCCGAUACUGACGCUGAGGUGCGAAAGCGUGGGGAGCAAACAGG
rnacentral:rRNA from 1 species